rnacentral:lncRNA from 1 species
GACCCUGACUGCUAGCGACAUCGGUUUCUGUCGUCCUAUAGACUAAUAAAAGUUUAAUAGGCUUCUUCGUCAUCAUAAUCCUUAAGACCACUUUCCAUUUCUCACGAUAUGAUCUCCUCUGCUUCGAAUGAAAAGCCCUUCAGAAUGUGUAAUGCUGCUGAAUGGAAUCGAUGUCCAGGCCUUUGAGCUUGACCACGGAUUCAACAUGGCCCUUCAGAGUGUGUAGCUCGCGAAGCCUGCAACAACAGAUUCACUUUGUCUUACCAUCACAUGUAGGACUUAAACAGUGAAAAGGAAUUGCUAGCAGCGAAUGGUUUAAACUCUGUUUCGAGAGAGUAAGGCGCCUAAACUCAGUUAAAUACAGCACGGCCUUUGAACUUCAGUUAUUAGGCAAGCAAACAGGUACGGAAGCGAAGAAGGUGAAACUAUGUUUUUUUUUUUGGUGAAAAGAAGGUGGAACUAUGUUUUUCAGUAAAUAACAC